GACGUAGGAUGCGAGCGUUAUUCGGAUUUAUUGGGCGUAAAGCGUGCGUAGGCGGCUGUUUAAGUCUGGUGUUAAAGCUAGGGGCUCAACCCCUGUGAUGCACUGGAAACUGGGCAGCUUGAGUGCGGUAGGGGAAGGUGGAAUUCCCAGUGUAGAGGUGAAAUUCGUAGAUAUUGGGAAGAACACCGAUGGCGAAGGCAGCCAUCUGGACCGACACUGACGCUGAGGCGCGAAAGCGUGGGGAGCAAACAGG
rnacentral:rRNA from 1 species